rnacentral:rRNA from 1 species
AACGAACGCUGGCGGCAUGCCUAACACAUGCAAGUCGAACGAGACCUUCGGGUCUAGUGGCGCACGGGUGCGUAACGCGUGGGAACCUGCCCUUAGGUUCGGAAUAACUCCCCGAAAGGGGUGCUAAUACCGGAUAAUGUCUUCGGACCAAAGAUUUAUCGCCUUUGGAUGGGCCCGCGUUGGAUUAGCUAGUUGGUAGGGUAAAAGCCUACCAAGGCGACGAUCCAUAGCUGGUCUGAGAGGAUGAUCAGCCACACUGGGACUGAGACACGGCCCAGACUCCUACGGGAGGCAGCAGUGGGGAAUAUUGGACAAUGGGCGAAAGCCUGAUCCAGCAAUGCCGCGUGAGUGAUGAAGGCCUUAGGGUUGUAAAGCUCUUUUACCCGGGAUGUUAAUGACAGUACCGGGAGAAUAAGCUCCGGCUAACUCCGU